rnacentral:rRNA from 1 species
UACGAAGGGGGCUAGCGUUGUUCGGAAUUACUGGGCGUAAAGCGCGUGUAGGCGGGUCUUUAAGUCAGGGGUGAAAUGCCAAGGCUCAACCUUGGAACUGCCUUUGAUACUGGAGAUCUUGAGUCCGGGAGAGGUGAGUGGAACUGCGAGUGUAGAGGUGAAAUUCGUAGAUAUUCGCAAGAACACCAGUGGCGAAGGCGGCUCACUGGCCCGGUACUGACGCUGAGGCACGAAAGCUAGGGGAGCAAACAGG